GGAUGGAUGGGGCGGGGAAAGGGCGGCGCCUUAUUGAUUUCAGAAACCUAGGGUUUGUUUUUGAUUUGAUGUGUGAGCUUUUGUAAUUGCAAAAGAAGGUCAGCCAUAACUCAUCAAGAGAAAACAUUCAUGAAUCUCCAUCUUCAUCUUCUUCUGGUAAUUAAUUAGUGUUGUGGAAUGUUUCUAUUUUUCUAGGGUUAGAAGUUUAAUUCCUUCAUGUUUCCUGAAAUUUAUUAAUGUAGUCUCUUGUUCAUGUUCAAUUUGGUUCAAUCUUGCUCCUUCUCAUGAUAUUCUUUAUCAUUCUCCAGGCUACCAUCAAUUAGGGUUUUAUUCUCUGAAUUUAAUUACUCGACUUUGACUUACAUCAUUAAUUAGAGUUUUGUGUUCUUAUCCCGAUUUUCGGGUUUUUGAGCGAUACGAAUAACACAUCGAAUAACCUCGAUUUCUCCAAGUACACUGUCUACUUCUUGAUUACCAGCAUCAAUACCAUCAAAGAACUUGGACCCAAAUCUUUCUCUCC
rnacentral:lncRNA from 1 species